UACGUAGGGGCAAGGCGUUGUCCGGAAUCAUGGUGCGUAAAGCGCGUGUAGGCGCCCGGUAAGUCCGCUCUGAAAGCCCGGGGCUCACCCCGGGAGGCGGGCGAUACUGUCGGGCUAGAGUCCGGAAGGGGCGAGUGAAUUCCUGGUGUAGCGGUGAAAGUGCGCAGAUAUCAGGAGAACACCAGCGGCGAAGCGGCGCUCUGGGCCGGACUACGCGUGAGAGCGGAAAGCGU
rnacentral:rRNA from 1 species